CCUACGGGGAGCUGCAGUGGGGAAUAUUGCACAAUGGGGGAAACCCUGAUGCAGCGACGCCGCGUGAGGGAAGAAGUAAUUCGUUAUGUAAAGCUCUAUCAGCCGGGAAGAAAAUGACGGUACCUGAGUAAGAAGCCCAGGCUCACUACGUUCCAGCAGCCGCGGUAAUACGUAGGGGGCAAGCGUUAUCCGGAUUUAAUGGGUGUAAAGGGUGAGUAGGCGGCAGUGCAAGUCUGGAGUGAAAUGCGGGGGCUCAACCCCCGGACUGCUCUGGAAACUGUACGGCUGGAGUGCAGGAGAGGUAAGUGGAAUGCCUAGUGUAGCGGUGAAAUGCGUAGAUAUUAGGCGGAACACCAGUGGCGAAGGCGGCUUACUGGACUGUAACUGACGUUGAGGCUCGAAAGCGUGGGGAGCAAACAGGAUUAGAUACCCGGGUAGUC
rnacentral:rRNA from 1 species